GACAGAGGGUGCAAGCGUUGUUCGGAAUUACUGGGCGUAAAGGGCGCGUAGGCGGUCCGCUAAGUUCGGCGUGAAAUCCCCUGGCUCAACUGGGGAACGGCGCUGGAUACUGGUGGACUCGAGUACCGGAGAGGAGAGUGGAAUUCCUGGUGUAGCGGUGAAAUGCGCAGAUAUCAGGAGGAACACCGAUGGCGAAGGCAGCUCACUGGGACGGUACUGACGCUGAGACGCGAAAGCGUGGGGAGCAAACAGG
rnacentral:rRNA from 1 species